rnacentral:rRNA from 1 species
AAUGAACGUUGGCGGCGUGGAUUAGGCAUGCAAGUCGUACGAGAAGUGUAGCAAUACACGGAAAGCGGCGGAAGGGAGAGUAAUACGUGGGAAUCUGCCCUUAGACCUGGGAUAGCAGCGGGAAACUGCUGGUAAUACCAGAUAAUGUCUAUGGACCAAAGGUGUGAUUCCGUCUAGGGAUGAGCCCACGUCCUAUUAGCUAGUUGGUAGGGUAAUGGCCUACCAAGGCGAUGAUGGGUAGCGGGUGUGAGAGCAUGACCCGCCUCACUGGGACUGAGACACUGCCCAGACACCUACGGGUGGCUGCAGUCGAGAAUCUUCGGCAAUGGGCGCAAGCCUGACCGAGCGAUGCCGCGUGCGGGAUGAAGGCCUUCGGGUUGUAAACCGCUGUCGAGGGGGAGCAACUUCCAUAGAGUUAUCUUUAUGGAUUGAGUGAUCCCUGGAGGAAGGACGGGCUAAGUUCGUGCCAGCCGCCGCGGUAAGAC